GCAGUUUUCUGUAUUCUCUGAGUUUCUUCUUCCCUUUCGUUUAUGGUUCUGAACCUAAAAUUGAUACAAGAAUACACCAAAAUUACAAUGCCGCCGCUACACGACAGUCCUGUGGUCGACGAAUCCAAGCUCUCCCCUGUGAUUCUGCAACGUAUUGUUGUCCCCUGCCGACGACGAAGCAAGCAGAGGCCAAGACCGCCACCGCCGCAUCCUGUCCUCUCCUGCCGACGACGAAGCAAGCAUAAUUAGUGUGGCUUGAGCAGUUGCGGUUUUACAAGACCCCAUACUUGGAAUUCGGAAACACCUUAUCAAAUCCUAAAAAGAACUACAAGUUAUCAGCUAGAUGGGUACGUGGCCAGGAAGAUGAUGAUAAAUUCUGCGGUUGGUUCCUACCUUGAUCCACUUGCUAAGUACUGACAAGGAGAAAGUUGCAUUGUAACGGGAGGUAUUAACACAAAAUGGAAAGGAAGUAGAUGAGAGUCAAUCAUACUAUGAUGCGGUUGGCGGGCAUGAUAAUAAAAGAAGAGUUUAUGGACUUGACUCAUAUAGCAGCUUCGUUCGUCGUCCAAUAAAUGCUAAUACACCAUACAAUAUAGCAUCAAUAUUGCAGCCAUUAGACAAUGUUAAUUCCGCAAAGAUACAAGAUGAGAUUGAGAAUUUGAAGGCUUCUGCUUCUUAUGCAUCAAAGAUUAGAUGCUCUUGAGAGUUGAGAGUGAGAGAGCUUGUACUUCAUCAUCAUCCUUAUCAUAAACGGAUUAAACUUAAUAUUGCUUCUUUUCUUUAUGAAUUAUUAUGUUG